rnacentral:sRNA from 1 species
GUCAGCACCCCGCUCUGAAGAGACGGGGCUUCAUGCCUCUAACUUUAGAUAGCUGACCAGCCUCAGCCUAACGGCUACGUUUUCNUACUGUGGUAAACUCAACUCGAUGGGCACUGUUUAAUCGAUUAAAAGAAACAGGUUUACCUGUUUCAACUGGUUCCGGUGGUUUAACUAAAUUUAACCGAAUCCGAUUAAACCUACCUAAAACCCAUUGGUUAGAUGCAGCUUGUGUUGGAAAAC